AAACUUUCAACAAAGGAUCUCUUGGCUCUGGCAUCGAUGAAGAACGCAGCGAAAUGCGAUAAGUAAUGUGAAUUGCAGAAUCCAGUGAAUCAUCGAAUCUUUGAACGCACAUUGCGCCCGCCAGCAUUCUGGCGGGCAUGCCUGUUCGAGCGUCAUU
rnacentral:rRNA from 1 species